UAAGACUUUAGUUCAGACGCCGACAGGGUGUUUCUAUGGAGAUGGAAUCAGUAUUUCGCGGUUUUGUAAAUAAUAUUCCCGCGUGUCAGUGCUAGAAGCGAUUUUGAAUUUGCUGCUUUAUAUAUACAGGUCACAGAACAUCUCAAAUGGCAAAUGUGCAUCAGAGCACACAGAGCGCUGCCCACUCAAUGAUGUUCUGCAGCUAGGAUUUGAUGGCAUCCUUCCCGAGGGAUUAUCACCUUCUUUGGUACAAAGACAUUAUGGAAAAGCUGAGGCCUCUGACACCACAGUUCCUCAAGAGGGCGGCAUUUCACCAUAAUUUUCUAGCCUCAAUCUCUCUCUAAGAAAACAUUUCAUUCUCAGUCACUGAAUUUAAGAUGUUGAAUUCACCCAUGUGCAAAAUCUGAAUUGCAGGAAGGACUAAAUUUCCUGGUUAGAGUCGACAGGGCUAUUUAACUUCCAGAAACAACACAAUUGUGCCCACGUUCAAGCAUACUUUUGAUUUCUAAAUAAACAUUCUCAUUCAUAAGGGGGGUGUGGUGAUUGACACUAGUGCUGGUGGCAAAUUCUCACCAAACAAAAUAAUAUUGUUAGUAUUAUACUUAGACCAUACUGAGAAUAUAAUAAGUUCU